rnacentral:lncRNA from 1 species
AUUCGGUAGUCUCUAUCCUGAUCUUUUCGUGUAUGUCUGUCCCCGUUCGUGGUUUUUUUUUCCUCUCUUCAAAUUUGUGUAUAUGAAACAUCCAGACUUUUGUAUUUGGCUAAUAAAAAAUUAGAUGAAUAAGUGGACAUUGGUAUCUAUAUGGUCCAUUGUUUAAUUGCAUAAUUAAGCUAAUUCGAUCUCUUUUUAUUUCGUUACCUUUUGUUUUUCCUCUAAAAUGAUGGAUCUGACCUCUAGUGCGAGAGCGAAGUACAAGAUGAUAAUUGAUUAACUUUUUUAGAGUUGUAUAUAAUGACAACCAUACUAAUUGGACUUAAAGGGUGUUUGUAUAAGCUGGU